rnacentral:tRNA from 1 species
GCUCCCGUAGUGUAGUCCGGCCAAUCAUCCGAGCCUCUCGAGCUCGGGACUCGGGUCCAAAUCCCGACGGGAGCA